rnacentral:misc_RNA from 1 species
GCUUCUGAAAGCAUUUUGUGCAGCCGUAGAACCAAUCACCAAACACCAUUUUAACAGCUUCUUUAAUUUGUUCAAGAGCUCAUCAGCCAGAGUACCUGCCGCUUUCUUUCAAGGCAUUUAUGUGAAAAUAGCAAUUACUCAGGAGCCUUGAGUUAUUUUCUUUUCAGGCCAAUUGGGCACACCUAUUUAUACAAGGAUUGUAUAAGAGUUAAUAAAUCUGCAAGACAGAUCACAGGAUAUGGUGAUUCUAUGGGUGACGAAAUGAUAAUACAAUGAUAAGGAGAGGACAGGAAAGUUUGUGGCUUUCAUAA